rnacentral:rRNA from 1 species
ACGCUGGCGGCAGGCCUAACACAUGCAAGUCGAGCGGUAGAGAGAAGCUUGCUUCUCUUGAGAGCGGCGGACGGGUGAGUAAUGCCUAGGAAUCUGCCUGGUAGUGGGGGAUAACGUUCGGAAACGGACGCUAAUACCGCAUACGUCCUACGGGAGAAAGCAGGGGACCUUCGGGCCUUGCGCUAUCAGAUGAGCCUAGGUCGGAUUAGCUAGUUGGUGAGGUAAUGGCUCACCAAGGCGACGAUCCGUAACUGGUCUGAGAGGAUGAUCAGUCACACUGGAACUGAGACACGGUCCAGACUCCUACGGGAGGCAGCAGUGGGGAAUAUUGGACAAUGGGCGAAAGCCUGAUCCAGCCAUGCCGCGUGUGUGAAGAAGGUCUUCGGAUUGUAAAGCACUUUAAGUUGGGAGGAAGGGCAGUUGCCUAAUACGUAACUGUUUUGACGUUACCGACAGAAUAAGCACCGGCUAACUCUGUGCCAGCAGCCGCGGUAAUACAGAGGGUGCAAGCGUUAAUCGGAAUUACUGGGCGUAAAGCGCGCGUAGGUGGUUUGUUAAGUUGGAUGUGAAAUCCCCGGGCUCAACCUGGGAACUGCAUUCAAAACUGACUGACUAGAGUAUGGUAGAGGGUGGUGGAACUUCCUGUGUAGCGGUGAAAUGCGUAGAUAUAGGAAGGAACACCAGUGGCGAAGGCGACCACCUGGACUGAUACUGACACUGAGGUGCGAAAGCGUGGGGAGCAAAC